rnacentral:rRNA from 1 species
GAGUUUGAUCCUGGCUCAGAUUGAACGCUGGCGGCAGGCCUAACACAUGCAAGUCGAGCGGAUGAGUGGAGCUUGCUCCAUGAUUCAGCGGCGGACGGGUGAGUAAUGCCUAGGAAUCUGCCUGGUAGUGGGGGACAACGUUUCGAAAGGAACGCUAAUACCGCAUACGUCCUACGGGAGAAAGUGGGGGAUCUUCGGACCUCACGCUAUCAGAUGAGCCUAGGUCGGAUUAGCUAGUUGGUGAGGUAAAGGCUCACCAAGGCGACGAUCCGUAACUGGUCUGAGAGGAUGAUCAGUCACACUGGAACUGAGACACGGUCCAGACUCCUACGGGAGGCAGCAGUGGGGAAUAUUGGACAAUGGGCGAAAGCCUGAUCCAGCCAUGCCGCGUGUGUGAAGAAGGUCUUCGGAUUGUAAAGCACUUUAAGUUGGGAGGAAGGGCAGAAGUUAAUACCUUGCUGUUUGCCGUACCAACAGAAUCGCCCCGUUUUUCGCCACCCCGCGUAAUACCGAGGUGCCGCGUUAAUCGGAAUUACCUGGGCCUAACGCCCCGAGGUGUUCUUUAAUUCAUAAAACCCCCGGCUUCACCUGGAACUGCUCCAAAACUGGAAUUAACACCAACGCUGGCAUUCCUUUCCCACCUCCUCUAGCCCCCCCCCC